AAAUUACCAAUAUUGGGGGUGACUCAAGUUUUGGCCCCCAAUAGUGAAAAUACAAGGUCUGGUACCUUCUGCGGUCUUUUUGCAUUUCACCUUGGAGCAAUUUAAUUGUGUUGUCCUUCAAUGAAAAAUGCUCUCUGAACCUAAAUUCACAAACCAGAAAGAGAUUUCUAGCAAGGAAAAUGCCCUGUCAGGGUCACUUGGAAGGCUGCGUUUGGUAUUGAGGUUAAUUGGAGAACGAGAGAGAGGCCUCAGCUAAUCUUAGCCUUGCUGCCAAUGAGUAGAAGGAGCUGGUUUUCUUUUUUCCUUCUUCUUAAUGUCUGAUCAUUUCCCCCCUUCCCCUGCCUCUGCAUCAGGAAGGGCAUCAUUCCACAUCCUACCUGUAUUAGGAAAAAGUAGCUUCUUAAGGGUUGGCACAGUCAUCUCUCUAAUCUUUCCCUUCUCCUUGUGGCAUGAAAACUUUUAAUAUUGCCAAUCCCUAAAAAUCUAUUAUUUCUGCCUGUCUUUUUUUUCCUUCCCACUUUGCAGUGUAGACUAUCAUUAUCCAGCAGCCCUGAUAAGAGGAUAAUGAAACAAUCCCUUCUCAACUGGAUCGGGUGGCUGUCAGACUAAAAUGACACCACCCGUACAUCCUUGACAUGCUACCACAAGCUAAUUGACAGCAAACAUUGGCAACUGUCUCCCAUGCACCAAGACAAAGGAAACAUAUUCAUGUCACCUGAUGGGAGAGCUACCUGGCAACGGAUAAACAAAUGUGUUAGGGAGAUGUUCUAUUAAGGUCCUCUGAACGGGCCACACCACGGUUGAGCCAUUGUGACCCCUGCGACACACAGGUCCAGGCCUCCUGGAGUCACAAAGCUUUGAGCAACAGGAGAACCACUAAAGAAGAAGAAACAGCUAGCUCCUGCCUUAACUGAUUAACCGAACUUGCAACAUUCCACCAUUGUGAUAUGUUCCUGCCCUACCCUAAAUAAUCAAUCGGCCUUGUGAUAUCCUGCCAUGUGAACUCCCUCCACCUCGUGACUACGCACCUUGUGACAUUCUUCCCCUGCCCGAAAAGACUGCCCCAACUGUAACCUUCCACUACCUAUCCCAAACCUAUAAAACCAGUUCCACUCCCACCGCCCUUCGCUGACUCCCUUUUCAGACUCAGCCCGCUCGCACCGGAGUGAAUAAACAGCCUUGUUGCUCACACUUAGCCUGUCUGGGUAGUCUCUUCAAUUAGGCACGCGCUUAACACUUUCCAAAUUUUCUACAUUCAAAUGAUGUGCCAAAGCUGGCUCGCACCAAUCUGAGGUGUCAAUUUUGUGCGUCUUUUCCAAACUUUCCAUGCAAUGAUGAUAGACUGAUAGCUUGAAAUCGGUCAUAGUGAAGUAUUUACACCAUGGAAAUUGGCAAUUCUACAAACAGGCUUUUUCCAUCUAAAGAGCUGGUUGCUAUACAUUACCAGCACACCACUGGCA
rnacentral:lncRNA from 1 species